rnacentral:tRNA from 1 species
GCGCAGAUGACCGAGUGGCUUAAGGUGGCGGAUUGCAAAUCCGUUGUUCGGGGGUUCGAAUCCCUCUCUGUGCUCCA